AAGUUUCAUCAUAAAAUACCAAAAUGCACAUAAAUGAAGAUAAUUUCGAAACUCACAAAUGGUAGAUCCAAAUGUGUAAUGUGAGUAAUGGUCGGAAAGCCCUUUAAAUAAGGAACAAAAUUCAUGUUUGGCAAAAAUUAUUUGGAAUUUGGAAAUUGAUGAAAACUGGCUGUGAAAAGCCAAGUACAAAACACAUUCAAAACACUUUGAAAAUUUUCA
rnacentral:lncRNA from 1 species